AACGAACGCUGGCGGCAGGCUUAACACAUGCAAGUCGAACGCCCCGCGAGGGGAGUGGCGGACGGGUGAGUAACGCGUGGGAAUCUACCCAUCCCUACGGAACAACUCCGGGAAACUGGAGCUAAUACCGUAUACGCCCUUAGGGGGAAAGAUUUAUCGGGGAUGGAUGAGCCCGCGUUGGAUUAGCUAGUUGGUGGGGUAAAGGCCUACCAAGGCGACGAUCCAUAGCUGGUCUGAGAGGAUGAUCAGCCACAUUGGGACUGAGACACGGCCCAAACUCCUACGGGAGGCAGCAGUGGGGAAUAUUGGACAAUGGGCGCAAGCCUGAUCCAGCCAUGCCGCGUGAGUGAUGAAGGCCUUAGGGUUGUAAAGCUCUUUCACCGAUGAAGAUAAUGACGGUAGUCGGAGAAGAAGCCCCGGCUAACUUCGUGCCAGCAGCCGCAGUAACAC
rnacentral:rRNA from 1 species